GCCUGGAUGGCACAGAUGGUUAGAGCAUGGUGCUGAUGACGCCAAGGUUGCAGGUUCGAUCCCUGCUUGGGACA